AAAAGUUUCACCAAAAAGUUUAACAAAAUAUUGUUUAAGAAAUUCAGUUUACAGCCUUUUACAUCAUAGAUCCGAAGGUUCUAGAAACAAUAAAGUUUACUGUAUGACUUUUAGUCAACACAUUUUCCAGAAAAAAAUUCAAAAUAUUCAACCACUAUCAUUUACUGUUCAUCAAAAUGUUGUUUCAGAAACUCAUUUUACAGCCUUUUACACAACAGAUCGGAAGGUUCUAGAAACAAAAACGAAAAAAAUCAAACAAAAAACAUGCAAAGCAAGUAAAAGCGAAGAAAUCGAGCAAAUAACACGUAAAAACAAGUUAAGAAAAAGGUAAAAACAACUUCAGAAAAGGUAAAUCAAAGAGACGAGCAAAUGACAUACAAAAACAAGCCAAAAAAAUGGUAAAAACAAGUAAACAACACAAAUCGAAGAGUCGAGCAAAUAACAUACAAAUACAAGCCAAAAAAUGGUAAAAACAAGCCAAAAAGAAAGGUAAAAACGAAGAAAUCGAGUAAAUAAAAUACAAAAACAAGCCAAAAAAUGGCAAAAUAAUGAAAUCCACCAAAUAACAUGCCACAAAAAAAGUAAAAAAAAAAAUGGGUAAAAUCGACGAAACCGAGCAAAUAACAUUCAAAUAAAAGUACAAAAACAAA